UUUUGUUCCCUCGCUCUUAGAGUAGUCUUUUCUUCUUCAUAAUGCUAGUUGCCCACAUAUCAACGUAGGCAGGAGGCGAUUAUCCAUAGCUUUAGUUAUUUUCAACCACAUGGUCCAGAUGAUCCGGUUCAAGAGCUGAAACCACAUAAAUUGAUUAGGAAGGGAUUCUAGAAAACCUAGAAUUAAGAAUCACAUUGAUUUAUCGAUUUAGCCAUGUCGAAUUUACUCACUACUUGUAAAUCAAAUUAAUGUUUGAGAGACAUUCAAUAAUUCUUUUUAUGUCUUCUUGAAAGCAAAGCCUAAAUUUCUCUAAGUAUGUUAGCCCAUUACUAAGUUUUUUACCAUAUUCUUCAAUAAAUUUACAAAUUCUGGGAUACGUUUGUUUCACGGAAAAUGAAUAAUUUGUAAAAUAUUUUUUUAAAAAUAAUCGCUUGUAUCAUUUACAAAAAUAAAUGAACAAAAACUAUAUUCGUCAUCCACGAAAAUGUUUAAACAUAAAUUGUUGUCGACAAUGAAAACAUUUUUCAUUGACCAAUUUUUUUAAGUGAUACAAACAAUUAUUUUUAGGGAAAUAUUUUUCUAAAUCAUUUAUUUUUUGCGAAACAAACGAAUUCUUUACGUGAUCUUCUCGUGAUAAUAUGAAUUUCCUAGAACUAGCUUGGAAACUCGGUGGUAAUAUUUAGAAGGAGAGAUAACAUGUUGAGCGACAUGUUAUACAUUGUUGAUUUGGUUUCUAACUUCUUCGGAAAACGAUAAAGUCUAAGACGAGCCAAAUCUAAUUUUAAGCGUUCUAUCCCGUGACUUAUAAGUAGGAGUCCAUGCCUUCCCCAUUUGGUUACCUCGUUAAGUCUACUUAAAAUAAAAGUCGAGGGUGCAAUUAAAAGAAAUUAAAUUAGAGUUACUUUUAUUUCCCAUGUCGUACAUCGUUUUAAUUCCCAAUUUCUCGAAACAUAGACUUAAACAAUAUGACUUAUAUAAGUCCGUUUGAUAGGGACAGGGAAAUUGUACAAUCAGUUCUAAGCAUGUUUUAUAUAUGACAAUUCAAUUCUAAAUUUUUUAAUUUUUUUCCGGACUAUGCAUUAUGAGGAUAGAGCAAUAUACUCAGAAGAAUUGGGCAGGAGU